AUUGAACGCUGGCGGCAGGCUUAACACAUGCAAGUCGAGCGAGCGGCGGACGGGUGAGUAAUAUCUGGGAAACUGCCUGAUGGCGGGGGAUAACUACUGGAAACGGUAGCUAAUACCGCAUACCCUCAGAUGUGCCCAGAUGGGAUUAGCUAGUAGGUGGGGUAAUGGCUCACCUAGGCGACGAUCCCUAGCUGGUCUGAGAGGAUGACCAGCCAGACUGGAACUGAGACACGGUCCAGACUCCUACGGGAGGCAGCAUUGGGGAAUAUUGCACAAUGGGCGCAAGCCUGAUGCAGCCAUGCCGCGUGUGUGAAGAAGGCCUUCGGGUUGUAAAGCACUUUCAGCGAGGAGGAGUUACUAGCAGAAGAAGCACCGGCUAACUCCGUGCCAGCAGCCGCGGUAAUUC
rnacentral:rRNA from 1 species